rnacentral:rRNA from 1 species
GAUCCUGGCUCGGGAUGAACGCUAGCUACAGGCUUAACACAUACAAGUCGAGGGGAAACGACAUCGAAAGCUUGCUUUUGAUGGGCGUCGACCGGCGCACGGGUGAGUAACGCGUAUCCAACCUGCCUACCACUUGGGGAUAACCUUGCGAAAGUAAGACUAAUACCCAAUGACAUCCCACGAAGACAUCUGAAUGGGAUUAAAGAUUUAUCGGUGAUGGAUGGGGAUGCGUCUGAUUAGCUUGUUGGG